rnacentral:tRNA from 1 species
GACAGCGUGGCAUAGAGGUUUGAGUGUUGGACUACAACUCUGGAGGCCGGGGUUCGAUUCCCCGCUGGGCCA